UUGUGUUCGUUUUAAAUCUCCUCUGUCCCCUCUCCUUUCGUUCUUAAGUAAGGCGAGCUCGGGAUCUAAAUCGCAUCCGAGUUCCCAUAAAAUCCCUCGUCCUCCUCGCGUUCCCUCAGUCUCCUUCAAUCGAGCGAGUGAUCUCGAGCUCGACCGAUUCCGUGAAGCCACGAAGCCGGAAAAGAGGACGAUUUUCGCGAGGCGAGACGAUCUGAUUUUUCUUCCGUUCUCCAGCUUUAAUUUUAGGGUUCUUUCUUUGAAUUCGGCUACGAGUGUUGGAUGCCUGGAUUGCAGUGGCGAACGAGGGAGCGGCCCGAAUUGCUCUUGGGAUGUCUAGGGUUGUUUUGCUGCAAUUGGUUAGACUAAACUUGGGAUUUCGGAAUCUUUUCUUUGAAGGUUGUUGGGGUUCUAGCGGUGCUUGCUUCGUCCUUUGUUGUACGAGAGACGCAGAAAAUGGUUGGGAUGGAUGUGGCCAUAGUACGAGACGUGGCAUUGCUCGUCCCUGAUCUUUUGUAGCUCUCGGAAAUGUCUCAGUUGGCUCCGAGUGACAACCCUAAAUUAGCCGACGAACUGUUCUGCCAGUGGCUUUCACUACUAGAAACCAGCAAACUGGUCAAAGCUACCCUAGAACAGCUUCAUAGCUUUUCAAGAUUGUUCUCCGCAGGCAACUUGGCAUCGGCAUUCACUUCGUUAUUGCUGUCCCCAUGGCUCCACACAGAAAGAUUGCCAAUGCAACAAUGAACCAGAAACAUGUGAGUGUGUUCUCUGAUCAUGGAUGGUGGUGUUGUAUUAUUUAGGGAAUAGAAGCAUGAGUUAAAUUGUUUCUUUGCUUAAUCACUUGAACACAAAGACUAUGGGAAUGUAACAUGUCGAACUCAGAAAUUAGCCAAGUGACCAUUUUUGUGAUUGUUUGUAAUUAUCAGAGACUGAUUCAGGUUCAGAAAUGCUUCAAUGUUAAAACUUUUCUGAAGAUUGAUAAUAAUAUUAGG